UACGUAGGAGGCGAGCGUUGUCCGGAAUUACUGGGCGUAAAGCGCGUGUAGGCGGUCUGAAUAGUCUGCUGUGAAAGCGCCUGGCUUAACCGGGCGAGGUCGGCGGAAACUCUCAGACUGGAGGCCGGUAGAGGAGCGCGGAAUUCCCGGUGUAGCGGUGAAAUGCGUAGAUAUCGUAAGGAAGACCAGUGGCGAAGGCGGAUCUCUGGACAGUUACUGACACUGAGCACGAAGGCCAGGGGAGCAAACGGG
rnacentral:rRNA from 1 species